GAUGAACGCUGGCGGCGUGCCUAAUACAUGCAAGUCGAGCGAACAGACGAGGAGCUUGCUCCUCUGACGUUAGCGGCGGACGGGUGAGUAACACGUGGAUAACCUACCUAUAAGACUGGGAUAACUUCGGGAAACCGGAGCUAAUACCGGAUAAUAUAUUGAACCGCAUGGUUCAAUAGUGAAAGACGGUUUUGCUGUCACUUAUAGAUGGAUCCGCGCCGCAUUAGCUAGUUGGUAAGGUAACGGCUUACCAAGGCGACGAUGCGUAGCCGACCUGAGAGGGUGAUCGGCCACACUGGAACUGAGACACGGUCCAGACUCCUACGGGAGGCAGCAGUAGGGAAUCUUCCGCAAAGGGCGAAAGCCUGACGGAGCAACGCCGCGUGAGUGAUGAAGGUCUUCGGAUCGUAAAACUCUGUUAUUAGGGAAGAACAAAUGUGUAAGUAACUAUGCACGUCUUGACGGUACCUAAUCAGAAAGCCACGGAUAACUACGUG
rnacentral:rRNA from 1 species